rnacentral:hammerhead_ribozyme from 1 species
GUCCAGCUGACGAGUCCCAAAUAAGACGAAAUGCGCGUUAUCCUUGAU